rnacentral:rRNA from 1 species
UACGUAGGGUGCAAGCGUUAAUCGGAAUUACUGGGCGUAAAGCGUGCGCAGGCGGCUUUGCAAGACAGAUGUGAAAUCCCCGGGCUUAACCUGGGAACUGCAUUUGUGACUGCAUUGCUGGAGUGUGGCAGAGGGGGAUGGAAUUCCGCGUGUAGCAGUGAAAUGCGUAGAUAUGCGGAGGAACACCGAUGGCGAAGGCAAUCCCCUGGGCCUGCACUGACGCUCAUGCACGAAAGCGUGGGGAGCGAACAGG